GGCGCGAUGGCCGAGUGGUUAAGGCGACAGGCUUAAGACAUGAAUACAGUUCGAACCUCGCUCGCGUCA
rnacentral:tRNA from 1 species